UCCCAAUCUGUCCAGCAAUUUGUUUAAAAAUCUGUUCAUGGAAAUUUGUCUGUUUGGUGCAUAAAGUGUCAUUGAUUUAUACAUUGAUGUGUUAACAGGUAGCAAAAGAUGGAGAGUUGGAUUUCCCAAAGUUCUAUGAGGACAGCCACACUUCAAAGAAAACGAAUGACUGGAUCCAUCCGAAAUGCCGUGAGCUGCAUCAAGAGAUGGUCAAUGUACAAGCGGCUGCCAUCGAGUCGGGGACGCCAUUGACACAAGAGGAUAUUUCAAGGCAAGUGCUUGGACAGAAGAAAAGGUACUUGCUUGGAUUUGGGAGUGGCCCACAACCGUCUACCAUAUUUGCAACACGAGCACACGAUAAGGACAUGGAGGCAAUGCGAGCUGAGGUGGAGGCACUUCGUGAGGAGCGGCAAAAGGAUCAUGACGAGUUAAUGAAAGAGCGAGAGGAGCGCGAGAGAUGUUACAAUGAGCUGUUGAAAGAACGAGAGGAGCGCAUUCAAUUAUCCAAUGAGAUGUUGAAAGAGCGGGAGGAGGGACAAAAGGCAAGGGAGGAGACAAAUACAAAGGUCGAGCAUCUUAAUAACGUAGUUGCCAAACUGUCACAACUCUUGGGAAUCUAAGUUGGGCAUCCGACGUUUGUUUUUUGAUGUUUUUGGACAUACAAAUGUGGAUAUGUUUUUGUUGACAAGCACGGGAGGGCAUUUUUUUCAUAUCUCUAUCCGUAUAUAUAGUGGUUUGUAAAAAAAAUUUUGUUCGUAGCAAUUAACAUAGCACGUGGUACAUAAUAGUUUU